UCCAAAAUCACCCCUUUUCGGCUCUAACACUUUCCCUGGGACACCCUGUAUUUUUAUUUAUCGUCCAUUAGUCUAGUACCUGCGUCGCCGUAUAAAUACUAUGCCUAUAAAUAAUACGUCACUGUCCUUAUUACGAUGACCUCCUUAAUCGUAGUGAAAGAGAAGAGGUGAUGGCUCACAUUUACGAUGGCCGAGCAAAAAUUUUACGAACUUUCUUCCUAGUGACCGAAAAGCGAUUAGUGAAAGUCGACCGAGAUAAGCUCUUAGAAGAAAGUGUUUCCUAAAUAUUUUUGGAUCCCUUGCUCUCAUCGAAUAUGGAUACUCGUCAUAACUUAAGGAUAGUUAAGCAUACGCAAUUGUACGCUUUCAGAAUGUAUUAAGACCGAACGACAAGUAAUAGCUACAGCUUCAAGUCUCGUUAUGUCAAUUUUUCAAACGUAAGUCUUCAGUUUUUUAUCAAAAGUGGUUCACCAACGUCUUUGAAGACCAGACGUCUUUAUACAGGGUGUCCCAGAAGAAGUGUUAGAUACCAAAAGAGGUAAUUCUGGAGGUGUUUCUGAACAACAAUUUCCUUUGGUAAAAUGUAAAAUAGGAUAAUAAGUGUCGUCGUUACCCUAACCGUUCCCAGCAUCACUCGAUACAUCGAUCCGAUUAGCAUCGGACGCAAGAAAACAAGUCGUACGUAAGAAUCGGUAAUUAACGAUGCAGAGAAAAGCGAUCGUCGCCCGUCUACUCAUGAUCCAGCGUAGAAUAAAUGAACCGUUGACUAGAAAUGACGUCAAAUACUUGGAGCCAGACAAGGUCUGGCGAUCACACAGGCGUUUAAUAAACGUCAAACGAAUUCAAUAUUAAUUCGUCGAUGUACCCGUGUAACUCGUGAUAAUUGAUCGAUAAACAAGCUGGGUGAAAGGUGAAACACUUGGAGUUAAACAGAUCCACGAUCAGGCGUGGAUAUCUACAUAUGUAUGUACGUUACUAUCGAAUUCUAAUAAAGUGGAACAGGAAGGAAAUUAAUGAUUCGGUGGACAGGUAACUGGUCGAAGAUUUAAAUUCGACGAUAUCGAUAUCCCAGGAGGACACUGAAAUAUGACCUCAACCUCUCGUUAAGAUCGUUGCACCGUCACUCCAGCCAGUUUCAUUCUUUCGUUUCGUUUCGGUUCGUUCACGUGCGAAGCUAAAUCUACACGUGUACCUUGAACUCUACAUGACAUUUCCAUCGACUCAUUUCAAAAUCACCGGAAAUUUGUUCCGACAAAUUUAUUUUUACUACCGAUCUAUCAAUUAUGAGACGAAACAUACAGAUGAUUCCUCAGAAGCGUUUUAUCGUUGAAGGUUCUGGACAAACAUGACGUUGCUGGCUGUUCGCGGGAAGAAACCGUACAUCGUAGCAAAAAAAGCUGUGUACCAGGGGGUUUUCCCCGAUUAUCCAGUUACGUGGCGCGACAUAAUUCUCGGAAUGUCCACCGCCGUGGCGGCCAUUAGCUUCCCAACGAGAAGCGACUCGGGGCUGCCCAGCCGAACGACCUCGAUAUCUUUUGAGGUAAGCCUUUUUGCUCUUCUGGCGUCAAAAUCUCAUUUUUCUUACAUAUACGUUUCGCGAAUAGAACAAAGGUAUCGAUAUACAAUAAUAUACAUAUAUGUAUAUAUACAAAGUGUCUUAGCCGAUUUCGACAUGUUGACAACUUUGGUAUUGUGGCAUGUAGCGAAAAAUGUUUCAUAGGAAACUUAAAUGGUAUCGAGUGGGGCAUAUUCUGGUGUUAUUAGUUUUUCCGUAGGUAGAUGCGUCAAGGAUAUAUGAAGGUCAACAUUGUUUUUUUAAAUAAAUAAGGUACUUUUUUAUGCAUCAAGCGAUACAGCUAAACAUUCUUUACAAAAACGAGUAAAUUAGAAUGCAUGUGCCUCCCACACCUUUUAGAUCUGUCCCUACCUUUUACAUACCGCGACUAUUCUCGAGGUAUGGCGAGAUUGACCCGGUCACUAAACCUUGCAGGACAGUCAAUGAAUUAGGCUCCAUCAUUGGCGUAUUUCAUGAUGGAGUUACAUCUGUUAAAAGAAAGAUAUACCUUGUCUUCUCACUAAUAUUCCUGGUACACUUACUGUAUCAUGUUUACUUGCUAGCCCUAGUCUUAAUCCCUGCUGAUUCACUUCCACUCUUUUGUUAUACUUAUUUAAUUUAAUAUAUGUCUUUCUUUUCUUUUCUUUCUCUUUUAUCUCAUCUUAUGUCUGAUAUUGUUACUAUAUUUUUACUGUAUUCUUUCUGUUGUGUUAUAAUGGGCUCUGUGUGUGAAAUAAAGUAUUAUAAUUAUUAUUAUAUAUAUACAUAUUCAGGAUCUCCGCAUGUAUUUCUAAGUUGCGAACCACUGUAAACGUGUAUCGAACGAGAGUGGUGCGAGUGCGUGUCGCGGCACGUGGAGGAAACCCCUUCACCCUUGACUUUCGCCAGCGCGCAUGAAACCAGGAGGCGAUUGCACUUUUAAGAGUGUGCCCCGCCGCAACCGCUGCCGCCGCCGAUGCACCUGCGUUCAGUUUAUCGAGAACCGCGGCGGUCCCGAUCUUGUCCGAGAAAGAACGAAGGUCACCGAGCCUCGGCCGUAUAUAAAACACAGUCGGGUGUCGGGUCGGGUAACGACGCUCAGCUGCUCCCGCGUUCGUAUCGUUCAUUCUGCGUCCUGCGUUCACAAGCGUGGCGUGCCAGUGAGUGCGAGAGACCAGUGCCAGCAGCAGACCUCUGAAAUCUCGGUAUAAAAGUAGAAACGAGUUCAAGCGCGCGAAAGUGAUAUAACAAGUCGUGCGACGUUCCCUUUCGACGAUCGAGAUAGACGCGACGGGGUGAAACAGCGUCAGAGAGUAAAACGAUUAAAACAAGUAAAACUCGGGGAGUAAACGAUCGCCGCGAUGUACACGAAUCCGUUCAACCGCAAGCACAGUACGAUCCGUCAGAUGCUGGAUCGACUGCUAUUGGACCCGACCAAGAAAACCAUCAAGAGGUCGGAAAGUAUGUCGAGCUCAGGAAGCGGCGGCAGCUCGAAUCGAGGUAGCGAUGGGUACCUGAGCAGAUGCAACCACGGCCACAGGAUGCUCUGGGCUAGGAAGUGAACAACGUCGCUGAACGAAAGGAAACAGCUACUGUUCAUUACUUUUCCUUCCUAUUUCGCCCUCCGUCGCAACCGACAAUGACUGGGGACAAUUCCGCGAUGGAGCCAACGAACCUCGUCGGCGAGUUCAGCGAAUUGUAUCAGUAGCGGAAAAUGCCACGGACGUAAUGAAAGGCGGUAGGACUCGGCAUCAGUUGAUCGCGCGGUCGGACUCGCUGCGCAAAUUGCCCCCUGCAACUUACAAGGGAAAUCUUGAAACCGUACCACCGGGACAGGUGUUAUUACGCCGUCGGGGAAAAUCGAUAGGUACUAUUUAUUCGGAUCGAUGAUCAAAGGAUCCGGUCUCACGGCUACUUGGAUACGAUGUCGUGGCCAGGUAUAAAUCCGGCCGCCGCCGUCGACGUUCCGUUCCCUAUCGGAGGGAAUAUCGAUGUCACCGACAACUUCUUGACGGGUCAACAACGAAUGGAUGUCGACGUCGAACAACCGACGAAUUCAACUUGGAUCGAUCGCCAACCAGUUCGAAUUACGUGUUCGAAAUGAGACAAUCGAGAAUCGCAGAUAUUAGAUGAUACUCGAUGGAUUUAUUUAUCAUACGUCGUUCCUCUUCUAUGUAUGUUAUUCGUACGUUAGACAAAAAUUUAAAUGUACAUAUGUCGAGUCACACUGUGUGCCAUACUUAAUUGUUAAAUAUAAUAGUUUGCAUUGUUUCGCGAAUAUCGCGAUACACAUUUGGUUUCUCCGCGAUUGUAUGUGGUUUACCGGAUAGCUGCAAAUUUUAUAUAUUACUAGUCAAAAGCCAGUAUUAUAAUCUUGCUUGCUUUUUUAAUUUAUUUUGUUUUGUACGACGAUUGCAUGAAAUUAAACAUAUUUACCAUACAA